AUGGGGGCACGGACGCCGAGCGCGCUGGUCAGGCUCAGGCUGCUGGGCGGCGCGGGGCAACAAGACCCGCCACAAGUCGUCUUCAACCGCCUCGAGGCGAGGGGAUCAAGGAAAAGGUGUACGCCGAGGGGACCCAAAUCGUCAUCUAGUGGCUCCAGAAGCGAUCAUCUACGACGUCUGCGCACGACCCAACCCAAGCUGGUGGAGAACACCUUCGGGAGCCGGGAUUGGCGAGAAUUAGUCCCCGUGUUCUUACACAACCAAUACCAGAGACUACCAACUAUGGAUAGGGCCCACUGGGAGAGAACUAUAAUGAGAGAGUGUUGCCUUCAAUCAUUCAUGAAACACCCAAAGCUGUGGUUGCCCAAUACAAUGCUAAUCACACAGAGAGGCCGUGAGCAGGGAGAUCAGGAAGGUUCUGACAGAGAGGGCAAAGAAUUUCAACAUUGCUCUGGAUGA
rnacentral:rRNA from 1 species